AGCGAACGCUGGCGGCAGGCCUAACACAUGCAAGUCGAACGAACUCUUCGGAGUUAGUGGCGGACGGGUGAGUAACACGUGGGAACGUGCCUUUUGGUUCGGAAUAACUCAGGGAAACUUGUGCUAAUACCGAAUGUGCCCUUAGGGGGAAAGAUUUAUCGCCAUUAGAGCGGCCCGCGUCUGAUUAGCUAGUUGGUGGU
rnacentral:rRNA from 1 species